rnacentral:lncRNA from 1 species
AAAACAUUUGGGUCUUAUGGAGCAAAGUCAAUUGCCCCAAGAGUUGCUUUGGAUGACCAGAAUGUUUAGGAUUCUGGAUUAAUUCUUAUGGAAACCAAUGUCUGCUUCCCACCCACCCCCUCAUCUUCAGUUUCGAUUCUGCCAUCAUCUUUUCCUUUUUGACCUCUAUAUUUGUCCACUCACCCUUGCCUUCUGAAAUUCUCUUGUCCAGGUGUUCACUGCUCACUUGAUUUCAACAACCUUCAAGAUGACCAGCAGGCGUAAGUCUUAGCCACCUCUGUCCACUCUCUCACUGCUGCUUGAGUGCUGUUUCCCAAAAUAAACUGGGGUGUGCUUUUCUUCAAAAGAUCACCAGUGCUUCUACAGAACUCUCAAAUUAGUUGCCAGAGGGCUGCUUUUGAUACUUAAUGAGGUUUUAUCUUAUUUAGUCAUGAACUCUCCUUAAUAAUAAUCAUAAAAAUAAAGGUGCUUGAAGAUGAUCUGGUUGAGUUCUCCACCAAACUGCGCCUCCUGGAAUCUCCUGUCGGGUGCACUCCCACCACUUCAGAAUUAAUUCAGUAUCUCUACCAGAUUGAAUGCAGUAGGAGAAGGGAACGACAGAGGAUGAGACGGUUGGAUGGCGUCACUGACUCGAUGGACAUGAGUGUGAGCAAGCUCUGGGAGUUGGUGAUGGACAGAGAAGCUUGACGUGCUGCGGUCCAUGGGGUCACAAAGAGUCGGACACGAUUGAGUGACUGAACCGAGCUGAACCACAUUGGGAUUAUUAUGUCUUCCUCCCUCUCCUCAUUGUUAUUUUUGUUAUUAUACUACUACUAUAAUAAAGAAUUAUGAAC